GAUGAACGCUGGCGGCGUGCCUAAUACAUGCAAGUCGAGCGAACAGACGAGGAGCUUGCUCCUCUGACGUUAGCGGCGGACGGGUGAGUAACACGUGGAUAACCUACCUAUAAGACUGGGAUAACUUCGGGAAACCGGAGCUAAUACCGGAUAAUAUAUUGAACCGCAUGGUUCAAUAGUGAAAUACGGUUUUGCUGUCACUUAUAGAUGGAUCCGCGCCGCAUUAGCUAGUUGGUGAGGUAACGGCUUACCAAGGCAACGAUGCGUAGCCGACCUGAGAGGGUGGUAGGCCACACUGGAGCUGGGACACGGUCAAGACUCCUACGGGAGGCAGCAGUAGGGAAUCUUCCGCAAUGGGCGAAAGCCUGACGGAGCAACGCGGCGUGAGUGAUGAAGGUCUUCGGAUCGUAAAACUCUGUUAUUAGGGAAGAACAAAUGUGUAAGUAACUAUGCACGUAGUGACGGUACCUAAUCAGAAAGCCACGGCUAACUACGUG
rnacentral:rRNA from 1 species